UAUCGGAUUACUGGGCGUAAGCGCACGCAGGCGGUCUGUCAAGUCGGAUGUGAAAUCCCCGGGCUCAACCUGGGAACUGCAUUCGAAACUGGCAGGCUAGAGUCUUGUAGAGGGGGGUAGAAUUCCAGGUGUAGCGGUGAAAUGCGUAGAGAUCUGGAGGAAUACCGGUGGCGAAGGCGGCCCCCUGGACAAAGACUGACGCUCAGGUGCGAAAGCGUGGGGAGCAAACAGGAUUAGAUACCCUGGUAGUCCACGCCGUAAACGAUGUCGACUUGGAGGUUGUUCCCUUGAGGAGUGGCUUCCGGAGCUAACGCGUUAAGUCGACCGCCUGGGGAGUACGGCCGCAAGGUUAAAACUCAAAUGAAUUGACGGGGGCCCGCACAAGCGGUGGAGCAUGUGGUUUAAUUCGAUGCAACGCGAAGAACCUUACCUACUCUUGACAUCCAGAGAACUUAGCAGAGAUGCUUUGGUGCCUUCGGGAACUCUGAGACAGGUGCUGCAUGGCUGUCGUCAGCUCGUGUUGUGAAAUGUUGGGUUAAGUCCCGCAACGAGCGCAACCCUUAUCCUUUGUUGCCAGCGGUUAGGCCGGGAACUCAAAGGAGACUGCCAGUGAUAAACUGGAGGAAGGGUGGGGGAUGACGUCAAGUCAUCAUGGCCCUUACGAGUAGGGCUACACACGUGCUACAAUGGCGCAUACAAAGAGAAGCGACCUCGCGAGAGCAAGCGGACCUCAUAAAGUGCGUCGUAGUCCGGAUUGGAGUCUGCAACUCGACUCCAUGAAGUCGGAAUCGCUAGUAAUCGUAGAUCAGAAUGCUACGGUGAAUACGUUCCCGGGCCUUGUACACACCGCCCGUCACACCAUGGGAGUGGGUUGCAAAAGAAGUAGUAGCUUAACCUUCGGGAGGGCGCUUACCACUUUGUGAUUCAUGACUGGGUGAGUCG
rnacentral:rRNA from 1 species